AGACAGGCAGAUACAGCACGCCGGGUCACCCUCUGCAAAUACAGUUUCCCAGAUGUGAUGAUGCCCUCCUACUCCCGGAACCCCUGGUCCUGCGUCUUCUUUAUCGUGUACCUCUCCAUCGAGCUGUAUUUCAUCAUGAACCUGCUUCUGGCUGUGGUGUUCGACACCUUCAACGACAUUGAGAAACGCAAGUUCAAGUCUUUGCUACUGCACAAGCGAACCGCUAUCCAGCAUGCCU
rnacentral:lncRNA from 1 species